rnacentral:rRNA from 1 species
UACGAAGGGGGCUAGCGUUGCUCGGAAUUACUGGGCGUAAAGGGCGCGUAGGCGGAUAUCUAAGUCGGGGGUGAAAGCCCGGGGCUCAACCUCGGAAUUGCCUUCGAUACUGGAUAUCUUGAGUUCGGGAGAGGUGAGUGGAAUGCCGAGUGUAGAGGUGAAAUUCGUAGAUAUUCGGCGGAACACCAGUGGCGAAGGCGACUCACUGGCCCGAUACUGACGCUGAUGCGCGAAAGCGUGGGGAUCAAACAGG